rnacentral:lncRNA from 1 species
UGAUAGUAGAAUUCAUUUUGACACAUCAUACAUAAAUGGAAUAUAACUUCUCAUUCUUCUGGUUGUAUAAGAUGUAGAAUCACACUGGUCAUGUGGUUAUAUAUGCACACAGGGUAAUAAUGUCUGUUUCAUUCUACUCUCCUUCCUACCCCCAUAUCCUCUCUCUCCCUUUACUCCCCUCUACCUAAUCUAAACUCUAUUCUUCACUAACCCCAUCACUUAUUGUGAAUUAAUAUCAGCAUCUCAGAGAAAACAUUCAGUCUUUGGUUUUUUGGGAUUGGCCUAUUUAAUUUAGCAUGAUAUUCUCCAACUCCAUCAAUUUACUGGCAAAUGCCAUAAUUUCACUCUUCUUUAAGGCUGAUUACUAUUCCACUGUGUAUAUAUACUCCAGUUUAUUUAUCCAUUCAUCUGUUGAAGAGCACCUAGGUUUGUUCCAUAGUUUAGCUAUUGUGAAUUGAGCUGCUAUAAACAUUGACAUGGCUGCAUCACUGUAAUAUGCUGAUUUUAAGUCCUUUGGGUAUAAACCAAGGCAUGGAAUAGCUGGGUCAAAUGGUAGUUCCAUUCCAAGUUUUCUGAGGAAUCUCCACACCGCUUCCCAUAAUGGUUGCAUCAAUUUUCAGUCCCACCAGUAAUGUAUGAAUGUGCCCUUUUCCCCACAUCCUCCCCAACAUUUAUUAUUGCUUGGAUUCUUGAUAUUUGCCAUUCUGUAUGAAGUGAGAUGAAAUCUUUUUUUUUUUUUUCUGGUGCUGGGGAUUGAACCCAGGGCCUUAUGUCUGUGAAACAAGCACUCUACCAACUGAGCUAUAUCCCCAGCCCCAGAACCCACUUGAAUCAAAUGUAUGAAAUAUGAUAUGUCAAGAACUAUGUAAUGUUUUGAA